CAACCCUAGAGAAAGAAGCGGCUGUCACAAAGGCCAGACCCAAAUGCCAUGUUAAGAGAUGGAUGAAGACUAGGAACUGUAGAGAAGGGUAGAACCAGUGUUAACUUCAGCUGAUGUACAUGCUUCUGCCAAAUAAAACUGCACAGCAGUAAAACAGGCAGAGAAGAAAGAAUCAACAGCAAAGGUAGAACUGGAACCAUGGAAAUCUCCAGGAGAGAGAUGAGGAAACUGAGGUGAAGGAGAAUAUGUAAUUUGCUCAUGGUCCACAGCCUACAUUCUUCAGUAUGUGCAGGGAAGACCUGGUGGGAUCUUCACUAUGGGGCCAAAGCAGCCUACAGUUUUGUCAUCCUAUGGACAAUUCCUCUCAGAGGAGGAAGAAAAG
rnacentral:lncRNA from 1 species